rnacentral:rRNA from 1 species
UAGUGCUGCAGUAACGCAUUAAGAUUCCGCCUGGGGAGUAGACGCAAGGUUGAAACUCAAAGGAAUUUGACGGGGACCCGCACAAGCGGUGGAGCAUGUGGUUUAAUUUCGAAGCAACGCGAAGAACCUUACCAAAUCUUGACAUCCUCUGACCCCUCUAGAGAUAGAGUUUUCCCCUUCGGGGGACAGAGUGACAGGUGGUGCAUGGUUGUCGAGCCUUCGUGCCG